UACGUAGGGUGCAAGCGUUGUCCGGAAUUUAUUGGGCGUAAAGAGCUCGUAGGCGGUCUGUCGCGUCUGCUGUGAAAACUCGGGGCUUAACCCCGGGCCUGCAGUGGGUACGGGCAGACUAGAGUGCGGUAGGGGAGACUGGAAUUCCUGGUGUAGCGGUGAAAUGCGCAGAUAUCAGGAGGAACACCGGUGGCGAAGGCGGGUCUCUGGGCCGUAACUGACGCUGAGGAGCGAAAGCAUGGGGGAGCGAACAGG
rnacentral:rRNA from 1 species